rnacentral:rRNA from 2 species
CAACAGGGAUUGCCUCAGUAACGGCGAGUGAAGCGGCAACAGCUCAAAUUUGAAAUCUGGCCUCGGCCCGAGUUGUAAUUUGUAGAGGAAGCUUUUGGUGCGGCACCGACCGAGUCCCCUGGAACGGGGCGCCAUAGAGGGUGAGAGCCCCGUAUGGUUGGACGCCUAUCCUCUGUAAAGCUCCUUCGACGAGUCGAGUAGUUUGGGAAUGCUGCUCAAAAUGGGAGGUAAAUUUCUUCUAAAGCUAAAUACUGGCCAGAGACCGAUAGCGCACAAGUAGAGUGAUCGAAAGAUGAAAAGCACUUUGAAAAGAGGGUUAAACAGCACGUGAAAUUGUUGAAAGGGAAGCGCCUGUGACCAGACUUGCGCCUCGUCGAUCAUCCGGGGUUCUCCCCGGUGCGCUCGGCGGGGCUCAGGCCAGCAUCGGUUCUCGCGGGGGGACAAAGGCUCCGGGAACGUAGCUCCUCCGGGAGUGUUAUAGCCCGGGGCGCAAUGCCCCCGCGGGGACCGAGGACCGCGCUUCGGCAAGGAUGCUGGCGUAAUGGUCACCAGCGACCCGUCUUGAAACACGGACCAAGGAGUCAAGGUUUUGCGCGAGUGUUUGGGUGUAAAACCCGCACGCGUAAUGAAAGUGAACGUAGGUGAGAGCUUCGGCGCAUCAUCGACCGAUCCUGAUGUAUUCGGAUGGAUUUGAGUAGGAGCGUUAAGCCUUGGACCCGAAAGAUGGUGAACUAUGCUUGGAUAGGGUGAAGCCAGAGGAAACUCUGGUGGAGGCUCGCAGCGGUUCUGACGUGCAAAUCGAUCGUCAAAUCUGAGCAUGGGGGCGAAAGACUAAUCGAACCAU